CGGCAAUGGCGCAGCUUACACAUGCAGUCGAGCGAGACCUUCGGGUCUAGCGGCGGACGGGUGAGUAACGCGUGGGAACGUGCCCUUUGCUACGGAAUAGUCCCGGGAAACUGGGUUUAAUACCGUAUGUGCCCUUCGGGGGAAAGAUUUAUCGGCAAAGGAUCGGCCCGCGUUGGAUUAGGUAGUUGGUGGGGUAAUGGCCUACCAAGCCGACGAUCCAUAGCUGGUUUGAGAGGAUGAUCAGCCACACUGGGACUGAGACACGGCCCAGACUCCUACGGGAGGCAGCAGUGGGGAAUCUUAGACAAUGGGGGCAACCCUGAUCUAGCCAUGCCGCGUGAGUGAUGAAGGCCUUAGGGUUGUAAAGCUCUUUCAGCUGGGAAGAUAAUGACGGUACCAGCAGAAGAAGCCCCGGCUAACUCCGUGCCAGCAGCCGCGGUAAUACGGAGGGGGCUAGCGUUGUUCGGAAUUACUGGGCGUAAAGCGCACGUAGGCGGACUGGAAAGUUGGGGGUGAAAUCCCGGGGCUCAACCUCGGAACUGCCUUCAAAACUAUCAGUCUGGAGUUCGAGAGAGGUGAGUGGAAUACCGAGUGUAGAGGUGAAAUUCGUAGAUAUUCGGUGGAACACCAGUGGCGAAGGCGGCUCACUGGCUCGAUACU
rnacentral:rRNA from 1 species